rnacentral:miRNA from 1 species
UGUACCUCGUCCAUCGGAAGGAAACCCUUCCGCUGGACGAGGCAUGUACCUCGUCCAGCGGAAGGAAACCCUUCCGAUGGACCCAGCGGAAGGGUUUCCUUCCGCUGGACGAGGUACAUGUACCUCGUCCAAGCGGAAGGCGUUCCUUCCGAUGGACGAGGUACA